AUUGAACGCUGGCGGCAGGCUUAACACAUGCAAGUCGAGCGGGGGAAGGUAGCUUGCUACCGGACCUAGCGGCGGACGGGUGAGUAAUGCUUAGGAAUCUGCCUAUUAGUGGGGGACAACAUCUCGAAAGGGAUGCUAAUACCGCAUACGUCCUACGGGAGAAAGCAGGGGAUCUACGGACCUUGCGCUAAUAGAUGAGCCUAAGGCGGAUUAGCUAGUUGGUGGGGUAAAGGCCUACCAAGGCGACGAUCGGUAGCGGGUCUGAGAGGAUGAUCCGCCACACUGGGACGGGGACACGGCCCAGACUCCUACGGGAGGCAGCAGUGGGGAAUAUUGGACAAUGGGGGGAACCCUGAUCCAGCCAUGCCGCGUGUGUGAAGAAGGCCUUAUGGUUGUAAAGCACUUUAAGCGAGGAGGAGGCUACUCUAGUUAAUACCUAGGGAUAGUGGACGUUACUCGCAGAAUAAGCACCGGCUAACUCUGUGCCAGCCGCCGCAGUAA
rnacentral:rRNA from 1 species